rnacentral:ncRNA from 1 species
UUCAUCAAGAGUAGCCGAGGGACUGGCCCAAUGAAGCUACGGCAACCACACUUUAUGUGAACGGUGCCAAAUCCAACGGAGUAAUCCGGCAGAUGA